CCCGGCCCGGCCGUGCGAGCGCGGCCCCGCACCCGGGCCCGGUACCGAGGGACGGCCAGAAGCACGUCGCCAUGGCAACGAGCAGUCUCUGCGCGAGAUCUUGGACCAAAGGAUCUUGGGGAAUUACCAGUGCACUGAUAUUUGUAGGAUGAAAUGACACAUCUGGUGAAACUGUUGGAUGCUUAAUAGAGUAUCAGCCCUGGGCAAAGCAGUGGAAGGGUUGGCCACACGUUGUAAGAGGGAAUGGUGUUUGCUGUUGAACUCCAGUUUGAAUUACUGUCCAGUGUGGAUCUUUUUUCAAAGAGGAAUGAGCAACAUAAGAGCCUUCAACUUCCAUUGAGGGAAGUUUCAAAAGUAGCCCUUCUGCCUGUGUUCAAGGGCCUGAAAUAUGGAGGUGCUGCUCCUCUGGCUGAUCAACAGACACAAGCCUUCCUCUGUAUUUUAGGGAUAG